UAAAAUAUUAUUAUAAUAUUAAUGAUAUUAGAUUAUGAGAUUAUUAAGUGAUUGAUAACAUUGGGAUAUUCUUGAACCCUGGAUAAAUUAUAUUAUAAAUGUUUAAUAUGUAUCCUUUAUCUCAUUUGAUUGAUUCUUUAUAUUAUUAUCCCCAUACUUAUAUUGUGUUGAAAGUCAUCUGUGGCUUACGUGCAUAGAUGGACUUGGUAUGAUUAUGACCAGGGAUUGUUCGGUAUAAUCAUGACCGUAAUUGAAAACACGAUUAUCUUUGGCACGUAGUGCAUAGAUAAUUCGUGGUUGUGAUACUAAAGAAUAUCUUUGGCCUGUAGUGCAGGGAUGAUUCGACGAUGUAGAUUAAUUAUUGAGCUGAGUCUCAGCAAUGAAAUAUUAAUUCACAGAUGUGGUAAAAGUCAUCUUUGGUCGUAGUGCAUAGAUGGACUUGGUAUGAUUAUGACCAGGGAUUAUUCGGUAUAAUCACGACCGUAAUUGAAAACACGAAUAUCCUUGGCCCGUAGUGCAUGGAUAAUUCGUGGUCAUGAUACUAUUAAGCUGAGUCUCAGCAUUAUUAGUUUUACAAUUGUAUAUCUUUGGCCUGUAGUGCAAAGAUGAAUUGUUAAUGAAUAUCUUUAGCCGGAUUGCAAAGAUGAAUUUAAUUUUUUCAACGAUAAAGGUAUUCAAGGUAUCCUCACCUCUUUAUCAUACCAGGUACGUACGUAAAUUUCGAUGGCGAAAUUUCAUAAGAAGGGGAGAUUGUGAGACCCCAAAUUUUAUAAAUAAAGAUUUAAAUUUCUCAAAAUAUUUUUUUGAAUAUUAAGGUGUGAAUUUGAGUUAAUGUUAUAGUUGGGGGUAGUAUUUGAAAAUUUUGCAAAGUAUGCAAGUUGUUAUAUAAUAUUCGAUUGGUCGGGGAAUAUUCUUUUUGUCGGGGAAUAUUCGUACGACGACACAAUCAUUGGUGGACCCACAACAGAAGAACUGUCGUAGUUAGAAAAUGACAAAAAUAUUUUAUGAAAAUAACGGCGGAGGUUUUACCGUUAAUACUGUUGAACUACUCGGUAGUAAAAGUACAGUAAUACGCGUGGUUGCAUAGUAGCACACGAUAUUGAUUAUUGAUGCUUACGUAAGAAGUCACUCAGUUAUACUCAAUUAUUGCUAUAGUAAUUGCUACAUCAUAUCUCUCAUAUUAUUGAUUUGAUUAUUGUCACAGUAUCAUGUGCAUAUAUGUUAUUUUAUUAAAUCAAUAAUUGAGACGAUAAAGUUAUUCAUAUUAUUAAAUUACAAUAUUUACAAUGUCUAGAAGUUCUGUCAAGGAGAGGUUAGAUAAUCUAAUUGCGCGCCAAUAGGGAGAAAUCCUUAUUGGAAAGCCCCCUCUUUCCUAGGAAUAACCUGGUUGUUAAAUAUUGAGAGUUAUGAUAUUAAUGAUGGAUAUGUUCGUGUUGAUUAAAGAUGAAUUUGAUAGUUUCAUUGUGUUGGAAUUAUUUGUGUUAAACAUUUAUUUUGAUAGUAAUUGAUGUCUGGAGGUAGUAUUGUUCACUCGAGUAUUUGUGAUACUUUUUGUGUCAGAAUUACUAUUCACGAGUUACUAUUCAUGGGUUACUAUUCACCAUAAUUACAAUUCACUCUAGUAUUGUUCACUCGAGUAUUUGGGACACUUUUUGUGUCAGAGUUACUAUUUACCAAAAUUACUAUUCACUCUAGUAUUGUUCACUCGAGUAUUUGGGACACUUUUUGUGUCAGAGUUACUAUUCAUGAGUCACUAUUCACGAGUUACUAUUCAUGAAUUACUAUUCACGAGUUACUAUUCACCCAAUUACUAAUCACUCUAUUAUUGUGCAUUCGGGUAUUUGGGUACAAUAUUAUUCCAUUAGGAGAUGUGCUAAUUUUUCAGACCGUUGGUUGAAUGAAUCAAUAUGGACCGCUGGUGGAAAGUUAUAAUAGUGAAUCAAUAUGGGUCGCUGGUUUAAAGUUUUAAUAGUAAAUUAGUAUCCGUCGCUUUAUGUUUUAAUAGUAAAUCGAUCUGGAUCGUUCGUUUAAAAGUAAAUCGAUCUGGACCGUUCAUGAAUUAGUUACUAUUCAUUCCAUUUUUCUAUAAAUAGAAGCUCAUUCCUUCAUUAUUUCUUAUGAAUUCACGGAAACUCUAGAGAGAGAAAUUAUAGAGAGAAAGAAGAAGAGUAUUCUGCUACUUCACUACUUUGAUAUCCAGUGUCUUUUACGGUAAGGGGUGUUAUUCUUUCUUAUUCUUGAAGAGAACUUCUGUUAUUACAUCCUUUAUUAUCCUGCUAGAAUAACCUGUAAAAGUGGCAUACCCUAUACAUAACCUAUAUACGUGGCAUACUCUAUACUUGGUGAAAUCCUUAUGUUAUUCCAUUUUUUAUUAUUCUGUUGGACUAACCUGUAAAAGUGGUAUACCCUAUACAUAACCUGUAUACGUGGUAUACCCUAUACUUGGUGAAAUCCUUAUGUUAUUCCAUUCUUUAUUAUUCUGUUGGAAUAACCUGUAUGCGCGAUUUACCCUAUACUUGGUGAAAUGACCUGUAUAUGCGGUUUACCCAAUACUUGGUGAUCUUCUUCUGUUAUUCCAUUCUUUAUUAUUAUGUUGGAAUAACCUAUUUAUGCGAAGUACCGCAUACUUGGUGAAUUCUUUUAUUAUUCCGUUCUUUAUUAUUCUGUCGGAAUAUCCUGUCGGUGUGAAUUUCACCUGACCUGCUUCCAUAAUUAUUAUUCCGUUCUUUAUUAUUCUGUCGGUGUGAAUUUCACCUGACCUGGUUCCAUAUUUAUUAUUCCGCAUUUAUUAUUCUGUUGGGAAUAACCUAUAUGUGCGGUCUCUAUCGCAUGCAUGGUGAAUCCUUCUGUUAUUCCAUUCUUUAUUAUUCUGUUGGGAAUAACCUAUAUGUGCGGUCUCUAUCGCAUGCAUGGUGAAUCCUUCUGUUAUUCCAUUCUUUAUUAUUCUGUUGGAAUAACUUAUCUAUGUGGAUUGCCACAUGCAUGGUGAAUGAUCAUUUGUAUUCAUUCCUUAUUAAAUUGUGGAAAUGAUUUAUAUACGUGGGUUAACGCAUGGCGGGUGAGAAUCCAUUUGCAGUUUCAUAUAUUCUUUAUUAUACUUAGUUGGUUUAAGUUUUGACUUCUAUACUCCAUAAAAUUAGUGGAAUAUCCUUGAUAUUUGCGCUUCAUUCAGUAUCUUUUCAUGGAAAUAUUCUUCUGAGCAUUUUUGACUUUUACUUUACAAAGAAGUAUCAUGUUGACAAUUUGGAUAUUAUUAGUUCCUGGAUAAAUUAAUUCUUGAACUUGUUUAAUUGAAUUCCUAUAACAUUGUCAUCAUCCCCAUGUUUAUAUUAUGUUGAAAGUCAUCUUUGGCUUACGUGCAUAGAUGGACUUAGUAUGAUUAUGACCAGGGAUCAUUCGGUAUAAUCAUGAACUAUGAUGUUAUAAGUGAUGUGGUAAAAGUCCUCAGUGGCCUGUAUUACAUUGAUGAACAGUUUUUGGUAUGAUUAUGACCAGGGAUUUUUUGGUAUAGUCAUGACCUUGGAUGAUUUAAUGAAUAUCCUUGGCUCGUAGUACAAGGGUGAUUAGAAGAUGUGGUUUAUUUAUUAAGUUGAGUCUCAACGAUAAAAGUUGAUGAAAACAUUUUUAAAUCAUAGAAGAUAGUAGGUUUUAUUCUCUAUUUGACUCUUCUAAUGGAAUGCUUAUUCCGCUGCAGUUAAACUUGAUGUUUAUUAUAUUUUAUCAGUUUAACAUUGUUGAAGACUAAUGAUAAUUUAUUUUGCAUUAUCUUAGUCAUAAUAUUUCUUACUGGGCUAGUUGAGCUCACCCUUUCUUUCACUGUUCUCUUCAGGAAAUGAGAAUAUAGCAGGGACUAGUCGGGGGACGGAGUGAUGGUCCAGAUGAUAGUAUUAGUAGUCCUCACUAUUCUGUUAAAUAGUGUGACAAUAAAUGUAAAGAGGACUGAAUUUGAGUUUGUAUACUAUCUAUAAGGACUCCAUUGAGAAUGGAUAUUGUCUAGAAGACAAUAUUUGUAUUUAAACUCAUAACAUAUGUUUUGUCGUAUUUUACACGACUAUUGUAUUAUUAGUUUGUAUUUGAAUUUUGUACCAUGUAUUUGGCAACUAAAGAUGGGUGAUGUAUACCUAAUUUUGGGGGCGUCACAAUUGGUAUCAAAGCUUAGGGAUAUGAUCCCUGGCUAAGAUGUGAGAUAAGAACUAGGAGGGGAAAGACGGGGAAUUCCUUCGCUAGUAUGACCUACCUAAGUUUAUUUGGUAUUUAAUUGGUCAGUCAGUGUAUAAGGAUAAUAUGUGACAUGUUAAUUAACCCUUGUUUUGUGACAGUGUUUGAGAAUGGCAUCUGAAAAUGCUGAGAUAAGCAAUGAAGCACAUGAGAAUGUUGAUUCAGCUCAAGCGAAAGGUAACGACCAACAACACGAUAAUAAUCAUACUGAUGGAAAACCCCCUCUAUCCUGGGAACUGCCUGGUUGUCAGUAUUGUGAUUCUGUAAUAUUAUUUGUGAAUAAUUAAUUAUUGAUUUAUAUGAUGAGAAAAAUAUUGAUUUUAUAUGGAUAUAGAUGGAGAAAAUUUUUAAUGUGACAAUUGUUGAAAAUUAAUAUUUUAC
rnacentral:lncRNA from 1 species